GCGCUCACUCCCGCAGCACAUAUACUAAAAUUGGAACAAUACAGGGAAGAUUAGCAGGGCCCCUGUGCAAGGAUGACAUGCAAAUCUGUAAAGUGUUCCAUAUUUUU